rnacentral:rRNA from 1 species
GAUGAACGCUGGCGGCGUGCCUAAUACAUGCAAGUCGAGCGAACAGAUGAGAAGCUUUCUUCUCUGAUGUUAGCGGCGGACGGGUGAGUAACACGUGGGUAACCUACCUAUAAGACUGGGAUAACUCCGGGAAACCGGGGCUAAUACCGGAUAAUAUUUUGAACCGCAUGGUUCAAUAGUGAAAGACGGUUUCGGCUGUCACUUAUAGAUGGCCCCGCGCCGGAUUAGCUAGUUGGUAAGGUAACGGCUUACCAAGGCGACGAUACGUAGCCGACUUGAGAGGGUGAUCGGCCACACUGGAACUGAGACACGGUCCAGACUCCUACGGGAGGCAGCAGUAGGGAAUCUUCCGCAAUGGGCGAAAGCCUGACAGAGCAACGCCGCGUGAGUGAUGAAGGUCUUCGGAUCGUAAAACUCUGUUGUUAGGGAAGAACAAAUUUGUUAGUAACUGAACAAGUCUUGACGGUACCUACCAGAAAGCCACGGCUAACUACGUGCCAGCAGCCGCGGUAA